rnacentral:rRNA from 1 species
AUACGGAGGGUGCAAGCGUUAAUCGGAAUUACUGGGCGUAAAGCGUACGUAGGCGGUCCGUUAAGUUAGAUGUGAAAGCCCCGGGCUUAACCUGGGAACUGCAUUUAAAACUGGCGGACUAGAGUUGAGUAGAGGGGAGUGGAAUUUCAGGUGUAGCGGUGAAAUGCGUAGAGAUCUGAAGGAACACCAGUGGCGAAGGCGACUCCCUGGACUCGAACUGACGCUGAGGUACGAAAGCGUGGGUAGCAAACGGGAUUAGAAACCCUUGUAGUCC